rnacentral:rRNA from 1 species
UGUGCGCGAGUCAUGGGUCUUGAAUAAGCCCAGAGGCGAAAUGAAAGURUAGGCUGGAGGAGUUCAGCCGCAUUCGGGAUCCCCUUUCCCUCGCGGAGGGGGCGCACCGAAGACCCGCCGCGUUCCACUCGUGGUUGUGGCGGAGUUUGAGCGCACACGUUCUGACCCGAAAGAUGGUGAACUAUGCCCGGACAGGACGAAGCCAGAGGAAACUCUGGUGGAGGUCCGUAGCGGUUCUGACGUGCAAAUCGAUCGUCAGAUCUGGGUCUAGCGGCGUAAGACUAAUCGAACCAUCUA